rnacentral:rRNA from 1 species
AGUCGACGGUACAUAAAGAAGCUUGCUUCUUUGAUGACGAGUGGCGGACGGGUGAGUAAUGCUUGGGAAUCUAGCUUAUGGAGGGGGAUAACUACGGGAAACUGUAGCUAAUACCGCGUAGAAUCGGGAGAUGAAAGUGUGGGACCUUCGGGCCACAUGCCAUAGGAUGAGCCCAAGUGGGAUUAGGUAGUUGGUGAGGUAAAGGCUCACCAAGCCGACGAUCUCUAGCUGGUCUGAGAGGAUGACCAGCCACACUGGGACUGAGACACGGCCCAGACUCCUACGGGAGGCAGCAGUGGGGAAUAUUGCGCAAUGGGGGCAACCCUGACGCAGCCAUGCCGCGUGAAUGAAGAAGGCCUUCGGGUUGUAAAGUUCUUUCGGUAGCGAGGAAGGCAUUUAGUUUAAUAGACUAGGUGAUUGACGUUAACUACAGAAGAAGCACCGGCUAACUCCGUGCCAGCAGCCGCGGUAAUACGGAGGGUGCGAGCGUUAAUCGGAAUAACUGGGCGUAAAGGGCACGCAGGCGGUGACUUAAGUGAGGUGUGAAAGCCCCGGGCUUAACCUGGGAAUUGCAUUUCAUACUGGGUCGCUAGAGUACUUUAGGGAGGGGUAGAAUUCCACGUGUAGCGGUGAAAUGCGUAGAGAUGUGGAGGAAUACCGAAGGCGAAGGCA